rnacentral:rRNA from 1 species
AGCCUGAUGCAGCGACGCCGCGUGAGGGAUGAAGGCCUUCGGGUUGUAAACCUCUUUCAGUAGGGAAGAAGCCGGCCCUUUGGGUUGGUGACGGUACYUGCAGAAGAAGCGCCGGCUAACUACGUGCCAGCAGCCGCGGUAAUACGUAGGGCGCAAGCGUUAUCCGGAAUUAUUGGGCGUAAAGAGCUCGUAGGCGGUUUGUCGCGUCUGYCGUGAAAGUCCGGGGCUUAACYCCGGAUCUGCGGUGGGUACGGGCAGACUAGAGUGCAGUAGGGGAGACUGGAAUUCCUGGUGUAGCGGUGAAAUGCGCAGAUAUCAGGAGGAACACCGAUGGCGAAGGCAGGUCUCUGGGCUGUAACUGACGCUGAGGAGCGAAAGCAUGGGGAGCGAACAGGAUUAGAUACCCUGGUAGUCCAUGCCGUAAACGUUGGGCACUAGGUGUGGGGGACAUUCCACGUUUUCCGCGCCGUAGCUAACGCAUUAAGUGCCCCGCCUGGG